CCAGAUGAAUCCAUGGCUGGAUGAGUUGACAUCAAGAGCAAGAACAGGGUUGACUGUGUUAGUUGCAGCCAAGAGAGGAAGAGAUUAUGGGAGUAUGAAGAAGGGUGAUGACGAAGAUGAGUUUCCAUGGUGGGUGAGGAGUGAAGAUAGGAGGCUUCUGGGAAGUGCGGGUGGGAAGAUUAAAGCUGAUGUUGUGGUGGCUAAAGACGGAAGUGGGAAGUACAAGACGGUGAAGGAAGCGGUGAAGGGAGCGCCGGAGAAUUACAAGGGUCGGUAUGUGAUUUAUGUGAAGAAGGGAAAGUAUGAAGAGAAUGUUGAGAUUG
rnacentral:lncRNA from 1 species